rnacentral:rRNA from 1 species
GAGUUUGAUCCUGGCUCAGGACGAACGCUGGCGGCGUGCUUAACACAUGCAAGUCGAGCGGUAAGGCCCUUUCGGGGGUACACGAGCGGCGAACGGGUGAGUAACACGUGGGUAACCUGCCCUCAGCUCUGGGAUAAGCCCGGGAAACUGGGUCUAAUACCGGAUAUGACUCCGCAUCGCAUGGUGUGGGGUGGAAAGCCUUGUGCGGCUGAGGAUGGGCCCGCGGCCUAUCAGCUUGUUGGUGGGGUAGUGGCCUACCAAGGCGACGACGGGUAGCCGGCCUGAGAGGGCGACCGGCCACACUGGGACUGAGACACGGCCCAGACUCCUACGGGAGGCAGCAGUGGGGAAUAUUGCGCAAUGGGCGAAAGCCUGACGCAGCGACGCCGCGUGAGGGAUGACGGCCUUCGGGUUGUAAACCUCUUUCAGCUCCGACGAAGCCUUCGGGUGACGGUAGGGGCAGAAGAAGCACCGGCCAACUACGUGCCAGCAGCCGCGGUAAUACGUAGGGUGCAAGCGUUGUCCGGAAUUAUUGGGCGUAAAGAGCUCGUAGGCGGUUUGUCGCGUCGACUGUGAAAACUCAGGGGCUCAACUCCGAGCUUGCAGUUGAUACGGGCAGACUAGAGUUCGGCAGGGGAGACUGGAAUUCCUGGUGUAGCGGUGAAAUGCGCAGAUAUCAGGAGGAACACCGGUGGCGAAGGCGGGUCUCUGGGCCGAUACUGACGCUGAGGAGCGAAAGCGUGGGGAGCGAACAGGAUUAGAUACCCUGGGUAGUCCACGCCGUAAACGUUGGGCGCUAGGUGUGGGGUCCCUUCACGGGUUCCGUGCCGCAGCUAACGCAUUAAGCGCCCCGCC